GCAGCGUCCAGUUGUCUACCAAUCAUGCCACAAAGUUGUGUGGCUUAUGGUUGCAACAACCGUGGGAAAAUUGAAGGUGUAACUUACCACAGUUUCCCUGCUGAUGAAGAACUACGACGACAGUGGGUUAAUGCAGUGAAGAGAGAAAAAUAUUGGCCUCACACUGUUCAAUACGGAUCAUUAUAAUGAACAAGAGUUCGAGCAAAACCAUCUGAUCCUACUGUUAAAAUCCAUUAGUAGGAAAUAUUUCAAUGUAAGACUGUUUCAUUACAGUAAACAAUAUAAUGAUAAACUUCACACCAGUCGUGUUAGACACCACCUGACUAAAGUUGUUACCUUUUUAGGUCAGUAGCCUAGGCCUAGAUGCUAUUUGCUUGUCGAAAUAAAUCUGUAAACAAAA